UAUUUGUGGCGGGUGGUUUAGCGGGUGAAUUCGAGCCUGCCGGUCAGCCCGCCACCGGUCUGCUCGCGGUCUUAGAAUCGAGGGAAGGCUUGUGAAAGAGGUUCACGUUUCUUCCGGCAAACGCCUUCUUUCACCGGGCGCAAAUGGACUAGAAGUGCUACGUUGCAGCGAAGUGUACAAGUGCGCGAUGCGGGUAUGAUAGUGGCUCUUGUCGGCAAAGCGCUGUUUUGUGCCUUCAUCGUCUGGCUGAUAAACAGACUCGCUGACCUUGCGGGCUGACCUCUUGAUAGUCUAUCAACAUAACAGCGGCUACGGCUGCGGUAGGCCCCAGAUCAGCAACGGUGACCAACCACUACAAACAAGGAGCUCCUAAAACCUCAUCCACAAGAACAGCGAGAACGACAUGAGCUACCGAAGCAGCUACGGGACUGGGUACUCGUCGUCGUUCAGACGCCCGUACACGCCGUCGUCGUACUCAUCGUAUUCACCUUCGUCGUAUUCACCCUCAUCGUAUUCCUCGUCUUCUCUCGGCUCCUCGCUCUACAGACCCUCGACGUACUCGUCCUACGCCCCGACGUACAGACGACCGUCGUUCGGCUCGAGCUCCUUCACGUCGAGGCAAAACAAUUCUUCGGAGAAUCUAUCUGGAAGCGGCGCCGAUGACGAUGUAUAUAGCUCGAGGAAUUCUGGCAGCCCGACAAGUCUGAGGAAAUCGAAUUUUUCCAGAAGUUUAGGAAAUCUGAGUUGUGCCAGCUUCGAAGAUGACGACAGCGAUCAUCAGCUACGCGACGGGCGCUCGAGAACUUCAAGCGACUUGGACUACAAAGAGAUGUACGAAACCGAAAAAUCCCUACGGCUGUCGGAACAAGCUACGCUAAUCGAGGAGUUGGAAUCUCAAAUCGAAUUGCGGAAACGGAUCAUUCUCCUAUUUGAACAGCUGACACCGCUCGAAGAAGAAAUAGACCAGGAGAAGGAACGUUGCAAUUUACUCGAGCAACUGAAAACUCUUCGCGAAGAGCAUGAUCGUCUAGUGAAACAGCAGCAGCCGACUUCGCAGAAACCCCAGGCGAGAGCGCCCAUCCAGAACAAUAGAACCGCAUUCGGAAGUAGAAGAUUCUGA